UUGGCUGGCCCGCACCCGCGCGACCCACACCCGGCCAUCUGGGCGAGCGCCAUGCCCCGAUGAGUAGGAGGGCGUGGCGGCCGCUGCAAAACCCGGGGCGCGAGCCCGGGCGGAGCGGCCGUCGGUGCAGAUCUUGGUGGUAGUAG